AGCCAGACUCCUACGGGAGGCAGCAGUGGGGAAUUUUGCACAAUGGGGGGAACCCUGAUGCAGCGACGCCGCGUGAGGGAAGAAGGUUUUCGGAUUGUAAACCUCUGUCCUCUGUGACGAUAAUGACGGUAGCAGAGGAGGAAGCCACGGCUAACUACGUGCCAGCAGCCGCGGUAAUACGGAGGAUCCGAGCGUUAUCCGGAUUUAUUGGGUGUAAAGGGAGCGUAGACGGUAUGGCAAGUCUGAAGUGAAAGCCCCGGGCUCAACCUGGGAACUGCUUUGGAAACUGUUAAACUAGAGUGCUGGAGAGGCAGGCGGAAUUCCUAGUGUAGCGGUGAAAUGCGUAGAUAUUAGGAGGAACACCAGUGGCGAAGGCGGCCUGCUGGACAGUAACUGACGUUGAGGCUCGAAAGCGUGGGGAGCAAACAGGAUUAGAUACCCUAGUAA
rnacentral:rRNA from 1 species